UAUAAAAAGCUCUGAGGAGGGCUGAAGGAGGUACGUGUGCUGUAGGUGCACUGGGAUGAGAUGCUUGUUCCUGCUCUAACCGGAAAAGCUUUAUUCAUACGUUCAUUCAUCUAUUGUAUGGAAAACUAGUCUGUCCUAGUAAGAACCUCACUAGCUGUGAGAUGGACUUGAAGUGCUUGCUCUGCAGCAGGUGAGAGUACAAAAGGAGUGAGGAGAACGUCCUUCUGUGAAGCUUUUCGACACCUCUUUGGAUGAGAAGGAGCAAAGUGGUGGUGCUGCUGCAUCUGGAGCAAUUGGUUUGCUAAAGCUUGUUUUCUGGAGAACGUUCACUUCACCGUCCUGAGCAUGAGUGGCUUCUACUGGCAGUGCUGCUGAAGAGCUGCGCAUCAGUAAUUCUUUGACAUGCAGAAUUACAGCUUUCCAGCGCCAGCUCAAACACCGAGGAAUCCCUGCCACCAUAAAGCUAUAAUUGCUGAAUUAAUAACAGCGGGUUCUGGAGAGUGACUGCACAGACUCUCUGACCCAGGUAAUGGGCCCUUCCAUUUUGUGCACGCUGACUGAGUGAAGGCUGGGCCGUUGCCCCUUUGCUUUGAAGUCCACUGCAUUUGUGAUUUUUCUUUGAUCAUCGCUGUGGAAAAGCCUGAUAUGUUUUUCUCAGCAGUUCGUAUGCACACAAGCAUGAGAGCUGAGAACCUCAGUCAAGGUUUGUCUGAUGUCCCGAGCGCUGCCCGGGUGUUCCAGCGGCACCAACAGAGGCUGACUGAUGGGCUCCAGUUCAGACAUACGAAGGGUGGCAAGCAGAGGCAGCGUUCUGAGGUCCAUUUAAUUAAUCUGACCGCAAGUCCCUCAGAACUGGAUGUCCUCAUCCCCAGGGCUGUCAGCCACACCGUGUCCUGUCCCUGCCGGCUGCACAGCAACAGUGGCGACACGGCUGCAUUGCUGGGGAGAUGGAAGCCCAACGUGUGUCAUCUCUGAGGCUGCUCGAGUUCCUCUUCAGCGCUUUGCAGGGGAAGACCAGAGAAAUAAUAAGGCUUUGUAUGAGUGAUAAGACUGUAUCGUGAUGGCUGUUCGCUUCCUAACAGAUGGGACAGAGAUGCAGGUAGGGUGGAGGGGCCACAAAGGCAACUGAUGGAGAAGUUUCUUUGGAGUCUGCUGUUCUUUUUUGCUUCAUUUAUAUUUCAUUAGGCAUGAAAUUACGUUUAUAAUUGUAUUAGACAACUGUGUGAGAUAUUAGAUCAUAAGCCUAGACUGAAUUAAAGCCAUUUUU
rnacentral:lncRNA from 7 species